CAAUAUCCACUCUCAUGCAUGGACACUGUAUUAGAGUUCUUGAGGAAAGCAGAACCAGCAGAUGAGGAAAUUGAAAUGCACAGAGCUGAGAAGGAGGAAGCAUGAAUACAGGAAGAGGUAGAGAGAAUGUAGAAGAACAGAACCAUCACACUUUCACAUCCAGUUAUCUCACUUGAGCUUUGCAGCUAUUUGAGGAGAGGGGUAAGGACAACAGUGGGUGUGGUGGCCCAGGUGGCCUCCCUCCUACACACCUGGCAAGCUCCUAGCACCCUCUGCAAACUUUCCUGAUUAGUGAGGUCAGCACCUCUUUCUGGAGGGCAGGAUCCCUGCUUCUUCCAGCCAGGAACUGUGUGGAAAGAAGAGAUUUGACAAGAGGCCAGAGCUAACGUCACCAGGCUCUCAGAUACCCUUAUCUAGCUGGCUUCACCUGAUCUGCCCCACCCUGUUUCCUGCUUGAUGGUGGGGAAACCCCCGGAAGCACACUGAGAUGCAAAAUGAAAUUCAG
ensembl:lncRNA